UUUGAGUGGGGGGUCCCUCAGCCCGGAUCUCGAGAGGGCGCAAGCCAGGCCAAGGGACCCCACCGGUGCACG
rnacentral:pre_miRNA from 1 species